ACAAUUGAAUGGCUUGGUUUGUGAUCUUUGGGUCCCAAAAAGAGAAUCCAAAGAAAUCCAGCCAUGUUUAGUGUAAAAAUUUAUUUAGUGAAGCAUGUUCUGUGAGCUAACACACGUAAGCAAUGUUAUUUUGUUAAUAGUAAUUAUAUAAACCUUUUAUUUUAGACUUGAUUCAUCCUCCUGUUUAUCUGUGCGCCAGUUUGCUGACCAGUAUCAAUGUCCAAGCCUAGUUGAAGCCGCCAAUAAGUACAUUCAAAAUAAUUUUCGACAUGUUGCUUUGUCGUCAGAUUUCCUCUCAUUACCUAAGUCAGAGGUGCUGGAGAUACUGUCUCAUGAUGAACUCUAUGUGACCUCAGAAGAACAGGUUUUUGAGUCUGCCAUGAGGUGGAUCAAACAUGA
rnacentral:sRNA from 1 species